rnacentral:piRNA from 1 species
UGGAUGACCGCAUAGAGGAACUAUUUC